ACAUGCCGGGCGUCUCUUCCAGAACCUUGAUGUCUCGGCGGAGCAGCGGCCAGUUGCAACCGUUGUUAUCGAUGUGCGGGACGCCCAUAAAGCACACGCCGAUUGGCUUGUUGGACUUGACCUUGAUCUCCAUCCAUCGCCGCGCCUCACGGGCGGCUAGAUGGCCGGCGAAUCUGGCGCACGCCUGAUCGAUUAACUGCUCAGCGGGUAGUUCGCUGGAGGGAAGA
rnacentral:misc_RNA from 1 species